CAGCCUGUGAAUAACUCGCAUUCUGUUCAGGUUUUAUGCUGUUUGCUGCUUAUCAGUAUUUAAGGGUUGGAAAUGAAGCCUUUAAAACUCGAAUCUAGUAAGACAAGUCUUUAAUUAAAUUUAUUUUUGCAUGGGACUACAAAUGUUCAAAAUAUGUAUCUCAAGUGGUAAAGGGUUAAAUUGAAACUUGACAUAAUUAUGUCUUCACCAUGUAAUGUAUCGUAAGAAGGACACACAUUAUGUCUUCACUAUGUAAUGUAUCGUAAGGAGGACACACAAUCAAUCAGUCACCAUGUAAUGUAUCAUAAGGAGGACACACAAUCAAUCAGUCACCAUGUAAUGUAUCGUAAGGAGGACACACAAUCAGUCAAAGGGAAAGUCUUCACCAUGUAAUGUAUCGUAAGGAGGACACACAAUCAAUCAGUCAAAGGGAAAGUCUUCACCAUGUAAUGUAUCGUAAGGAGGACACACAAUCAAUAAGUCAAAGGGAAAGUCUUCACCAUGUAAUGUAUCGUAAGGAGGACACACAAUCAAUAAGUCAAAGGAAAAGCUAGGAGAUGUACACAAAUGGCUAGGGCCUUGUCUGGCUUUCUAAGAAUGAAAUUGUAUAAUAAGCCAUAUUGAUGGGUCAAAAUAAGAGUAUACAAAAUAUAUCAGCAGUUUCAGU